UUGAAAUCAGGGCGCGCUGUGGUUAACUGUUCUCUGACACCCUUUUUCAUCCGUUCACCCAUCCCACUGGGCUACUAACUUAUUCUUCCCUCUAACUUUGUUCUCUGCUUACACCCUUCUCUAUACCUCAUGUGAAUCCUCACCUCUUCCUGCCUUGGGGCUUAUAUUUUAACAGCAGCAACAGCAAUCCCCCUUAUCUCUGAAGUCUGCAAAGCCCUGUCAACAUUCUUACGACAACCUAUGAAACAAGAAUCCUAUAACCUCCACUGCACAUAGAGAAGGCUACCUGGAGUUUGAAGCAGAAGAGAUGUGAGUUUGAAUCCAGUAUUUGUUACUCAUCAGCAAUGUAGGAAUCCACAGUGACAACCCACAACUGGGCUGGCUGGAUGUGGGAGUGGGAACAUCGAGGGAGUGAGACCAGGGGCUCAUGCAUUCUUUUUGAGUUACUUCUCCUUGAUUAAGCAGUUUCUUAUACUCCCAUCUCCACUGCUGGAAAGAGAGACAGACAGACAGACACCGAUGAUCUUCUCUCAUCUCCUUCCGACACAUGACUGAGCACCAGGCAGAGGCCAGCAGCCUCAGUGCCUGAGUUCUCCUGGUAAUACACAGUGUCUCAGAUGUAAACAUGAAACAUCAGGGUGGUGGAGCUUAUUUGGUCUCUAAUCAUAAAAGGCAAGGAGAGAAUUCAGCAUGGUGACUCUGGAGAGACACUGCCAUCGGUUCUGAUCCUGGUGGUACUAUUCUCUGGCUGUACAUUUAGUAAAUUGCUAGUUUCUAUAGACUUCAGUUUCCUCAUCUAUAAAAAAGAACUAAUCUUAGUACUUCACCCACACAAGGUUUAAAUGAGAUAAAACAGAUCAGUGGCUGGCACACAGUAAGCACUUAAAAUGCUUCCUAAUGUAUCAUUAUUACUAUUACUACAUACCACUUUUCCUUCAAUUUCUUCCUUUUGCUAUAAUGAAAUUACAGAAUCCAAAAUUUAUUUUAGUUUCUUAGACUUCUUAUUUUUUUGUGCUGUAGGUACUGUUGAUCCUCACUCCAAAAUUUAACUCAGCAGCGGCAGAUCCUUCAGCCAAACAAUGGAAGAAGACAUUUGGUUGUUUUUUAACCAGGGUCACUAGACCAAGAAUCAUCUACAAGAGGCAAAAUAGCAGUCCCACUUAAAUCUCUAGGUUGUGGUGUGCUACAUACCCCAGCCAGUUCAUCACUUGCAUGUGGUGAAGGAGUAUGGUGAUUUGCUAAACACUGAGCUCUCAAGGACCCACUGGGUUUUUUUUGUUUUUUUUUUUUUAAACAAAUAGGGUCUAACUCUGUCACCCAGACUGGAGUGCAGUAGCACAAUUAUGACUCACUGCAGCCUCAACCUCCUGGGCUCAAAGGAUCCUCCGGCCUUAGCCUCCCCAGUAGCUGGGACCACAGGUAUGAACCACCAGGCCUGGCUAAUUUUUUAUUUUUCUUUUUUGUAGGGAUGGGGACUCUGUAUGUUGCCUAGGCUGCUCUCGAACUCCUGGGCUCAAGUGAUCUUCCUGCCUUAGCCUCCCAAAGUGCUGGGAUUACAGGAGUGAGCCAUUGUGCCAGGCCCUGCUGGGAUAUUCUAAGGUGGGGUCUCUGCCCCAAGUGUCAAGAACAAUGAACUGUAGGUUGACCAACAUGAGACCUAAUUUAUGGAAUCUUCGGCCUAUAUUUUUUCAAUGUUUUGUUACUCACGGUGGAGCCUGUCUCCAGAAAGGCUGGCUUUCAAUGUAGUCCCAGCCACCCUGGCUCCAGAGAGGGCUCAGCUUGCACCCAAAUAGCAUCAUUGUUUAACAGGCCUACUUUAAGAUUAUUUUUCAAGUUCCCAAUACCCAACUAACUCGAAGGAAGAAAUGGAAAUCUAUUUUCUUUUCUUACCAUCAUUUGAUCAUUUGAUCAUUUGCUGAAUUAACAAAUACGUACAUACGCAGACAUCAGAAAAGAAGGGCUCCUACCUUGGCCUCAGGGGGAAAAGGGAACUUGUAGAAUAAGACAAGAGUUAUGCUGAAGAUGAAAGGAUAAUGCUCUGCCGUAGGGAGAUGGGCAGGCAGGACCGGGAAGGGCAUCUGAGCUACUGGAAUGGCACGUGCCAACAUUCAUAUGGCAGACAACAUGAGUCAGAAUACCAGAGAAUGUGAAGGAUUUGGUGUGGCUGGGGUGAUUAUAAUUCAUGCUCCAGCUCCCUUCCUUUGAGAUGAAUAGUUUUUCUUCUUUUUCUCAAUUUCACCUGUAUUUCCUAUCUCAAAAAUUUACUUAUCUCUUCCUCUUCUCCUUCUUCCUGUUUUGAGCAUGGUCUCUGUUCUUCUUUAUCCAUGUCAUGGCCAUGAUUAACAUGAUCUCAUCCAGCCUUGACCUCAGCUGGGUCAAACACACAUACAUAGUUUUCCUCCAAGUUAGCAGAGUUUGGUGUUCUUUACUCCUAUCCUGGCACACUCUCAACUGUGAUUGCUAAGCUUCUAAGCCAGAGAUGUUUGAGUCAGUGGAUCUCUAAUAUGUCUCUGGAUUUUUUGAAGGGCUAAUCUAACAUUCACACAGGGAUUGGAAACACAUAAAGUUAUGGAGCAUGGGCUCAUGGGUUAGAUAUUUCAGUCACCAAGUUUUUAAAUAAUAUCACAUCAGACAUAGUUAUCUUAUUAUACAAUUAAGUAGAACAAAGCUUGAAGAGAGCUCACAUCCAAGCAGGGGCAAACUUCUAAAACACCAAGGACUUGUAUGCUAAUCCUUCUUAGAUGUCUAGAAGAGGAAAUAGAACUCUAACAAAAACGGCAUAGUCAAGGCUACCACUGACCUUUCACAUGUCACUCCCAUUCUGCAGCAAGGUGUCAAUCCCUGAACCCUGAGGUCUCUUUUUAGUGCACUCUCUCCUAAGGCAGCCUCGCUGUACUGAAGUGAAGGUAGCUCUUGUUAAUUUUUAUUUACUUGUUCCUUAUGACCUAAGUGGGGAGUGGGGGAAAGACAGCUAAAGACCUGUUUAUAGUACAGUGAAACCGAAUGUCAUGAAAAGGAGCCAAGUCUAAACAAAAAGUAUUCCUCUGUUAGGCAAAAUUAUCCUUUUUAACAGGAACGCACAUACACACGAGGAGAAGAGGUCACCAACCUAGCCAUCUUCCCAACCAUGGCACUAAAUUUGGGGUGUUCCCACUUCCCCGACUUCCUACAGCAUUCACUCUCUGUGCUAGUCACUUCAUCAUUCCAUUACAUAUUGAACUAGCUCAUCAAAUGCCGUUGUACAUAACCCUGUACAUACCACUCGUCAACAAAGAUUUCAUGAAUUUAUAAACAAAUGAAUAAACCAACGAAUGAAUGUUUUCUAUUUUCUCUUCUUUGCCUUACUCCCCUCUCACUUCCUCCCCUCCUAAGAAGCAUUUAUGUUUCCUGUGCAUAUAUUUUUUUUUUUUUGAGAUGGAGUUUCACUCUUGUUGCCCAGGCUGGAGUGCAAUGGCGUGAUCUCGGCUCACCGCAACCUCCACCUCCCGGGUUCAAGCAAUUCUCCUGUUUCAGCCUCCCGAGUAACUGCGAUUAUAGGCACGCGCCAUCACGCUUGGCUAAUUUUGUAUUUUUAGUAGAGACAGGGUUUCUCCAUGUCUGUCAGGCUGCUCUCGAACUCCUGACCUCAGGUGAUCCGCCUCCCUUGGCCUCCCAAAGUGCUGGGAUUACAGGCAUGAACCACCCCGCCCGGCCUCCUCUGUAUAUUUUCUCUAAACUGUAAGCUCUGAGAGAUGAAUUGUGUGCUCUUUCUUCUUUCUCCACCUGUGGUGCGUUUCACAUAGUGUUAAGGAAAAAGUAACUAAGUCCUUGCUAAAUAAUAGCAUCUCUAUAGGUAAGAUGAAUAUUCAGUGAGAAGCAUCCCUAUAUUGCCAUGUUUAGGGACUAAAAUCUUUUGAUGACAAUUUUAUGACUGAGUGACCUCAUCACGUGCAAAAAGUGCAUUUGUACACAGCAAUCAAUGAUUAGACUCUUCGAAAAUUAAAAAACAAAACAAAGCUGGGUACAAACCAUGAUUCAGAGAUUACACAAAUAAUAAAUGUCAUUUUAUGGCUGUGAGUAAACUUGAAUGACUUACCCUAAUAAAACUGUACCUACUAAAGGUAGACAGCUACUCCAGGGUUUUAAAAAAUCAUCUGUUUUUCAUUUCUCUUGCUAAAUUUUGUUAAAUGAAAAGAAUCCUUCUGAAUGGACAUAAGACUGGAAGGGCACGAAAAGCAGUUUUUCUAAACUGCUACCAAUACCAGCACAUCCUGCAACUAGAUAACGUUGCCCAAGGAGCUUCCACUUCAUUUUGUUUUGCCUCCAAAGGCUCUUCACUGAUGCAGCUAAAAAAGAGGAGGACGAGGAAAGACCCACAGGAAGACUGCAGCCCAGACUUCAUUGGAGCCACUAGUCAUAAAUAGUGGCAACUUUAACCCUUCUCCUUGGAAGCACAAGAGCUAGUGUGACCUUUGCUUCUCUUUCGUUACCUGGAUUCUGGGAACUGCAGACUUAAGAACCAAGUUCAUCCCACCAGUGGAUGCUAUGGAACUCCUGCACUAUAACAACUCCCCCACUUCCUACCACGCCCACUCACGGUUUGGUUUUGCCCCUUCCUGCUAAAGUCCUAAAUAGGUUCUGGUUUUGUUUAAAGCAUGUAGCCAGUAUUUGGUAAGUGACAGGCAAGGCCACCCACUCUGUCUUGCCCCUGCGCCCCUCCAAAUAGAGUGCGCAGAAAUGAGCAUGGUGGGACAGGUGUCUGCCCCUCUAGUCCAGAGGAGGACAGCAGCCCAACUCCUCAUUAUUCUAUUAAUACAGUCUGAAUUCUUUGCCCCUGCCCCCCACCUAGGUCUCAACUGGCUCCUACUGGUGUUACAAUCAUUCCUCACUAAUUGUCACAUGAACUGCUGUUAAGUUAGAGCUCUUCACUCUACACUAGUACCAUGGUAUGGGCUUUGCAUUCAUGCCCAUUAACGAUCUUUUUUUCAUUUUGAUUGAGAACUUCAGCCUGCUGAGACUUUGUUCUAAAAAAAUCUUCAUUCUUCAUCUCAGCAUAUUAACUCUUCCCCAUCCUCCCUCGACACAGACAAUUUCUAUUAUCUCUAAAUUUCUUGGAUCAUAUUCAUCUGAGAGAUAUUGUGAUCAGUUUUCUAAAUGUGUGCACUCCAAUGUUUCACAACAUCUAAACUGGGGUGCUAUUGUUACUAUUUGACAAUUAAGAAGACCUGUUCACGUCAGGGCUUAUUCUCAUGUAUCACCCACUCCAGGUGUCGGGUUAUUCCCACUUAUUACCUGUACCAAGAGAGGUCCGGCCCUGCCUCCUCCUGCCACCUUCACUCAGCACCCAGCACAGUGCCUGGCUCUCAGCAGAGGCUUCAUUGACAAAGGUUUUUGAAUGCAUAGAUGAGCGAGCUUACUUAAUCUUUAUCAUAAUCCUAUGAAGAUUCUGUUUUCAGUCUACAUUUUAUAGAUGAGAAAACUGAGGUCUAGAAACUUAAAUAACUCACUCAGAGUUAGGCACCUGUUACACAGAACCAGCAUUUAAAAAUAAUGCCUAGAAAGUAUAAACAACAUGCACAAGACACGCCAAUUGCUCAUUUCAGAGCAGGACCCCCAAAUCAGGUCUUGUGCUUCUCUUUCUUGUGAAUCACUAGUAUGGACCAUACCUCUCCAAUCACCUCUCCUACCAGCUUUCUGUUUCUCUUUUCUGCAGAAACAGACGUAGCUAAAGAAAUUUCCAAAUUAAAACCUGGCAAUGGUUUCUAUAUUCUUGUUUCCUAAACCUAUAAAUCAAAAGUGUCUAAACAGGUCAUAAAUGUUCCUCAGCAAUAUAAUGGGAAAAGUUCUGAUUUAUAGUGCCGGUGGAAUAAUUUUAAAUAAUUACAUAAGAGUUUUGAAAAAAUGCAAUUAACACCUUUAGAAGUUUUUUGAGAUGAAAAUGAAUCUCUGGAGAUGACUGUUCCCAUACAUAAAGAUAGCCAGUUAAAAAAUAAAAAUAAAGCUACAAGAUGCAACUGUGUCUGAAAGAUCCUAUGGAGACAGAGAAUAGGAGCUACUAUUUACAAUGGGAAUUCACUAGCGUGACCACAUCAAUAAAUGUUUAACUUUGUCGCAUUAUUACACGAUAACAACACAAUCAUCAAAUGUACUAUUGAACAUUGCAAUUAAAUCACCAAAUAAACAUCUUAUUUCUAUUCAGCCCCAGCUGAUGGCUUUCUGCCUCUGUACUGCUUUGACACAUCCUACCACACUGUCCUUUGGAACACUUCAAAUCCACCUACCUGCUCUUGCAAAUCUGGCCAAUGUUCUUCCCUUCCUCUUUCUCUUCAUUUGUGAUUCAUCUCCUUCAGAAUCCAGCCUUCUACAGAUGAAGUCACUCCAAGCAACCAUCCUUAACCCUAAUUUCCCUGGGUAUCAAAGAAAGUCUUACCAUCUCUGAAUUUCCUUCUUCUGGCUUAGCAAGCAGUAGUAGUUAUGAUUUGACUCAAUGAACCCAUUUCUCAAGCGCACUUAAGGUACUAACCUUUCCCUUUUGUCUCUCACUGGGUGAUCUUCACUUUGGCCCAUUCUACCAGCACUUUGUCUGAAACCUUUACCUCCACAGGAUUUGCAACUCUGAAAGUGGCAGAAGGAGGCAACCUCCGACUAAACUAAUUUUUAAAGUAUAUACUGCUUAACGCUAAGUGUUCUGCAUUUGUGUCCAGGUUUACCUUGGAUACGACACUAAACAAUAAUGAAGCAGAACUUGACUUUCCUCAGGGCUCCUUCAGAUCCCGUGGCAAUCUGAAAAGUGUUCUAACACUCCAUAAUUCAAAACUGAAAUGGCCCAAGGUAUCUCCCCAGUUCUUUCCAGCACCUGUACUCAGCUCAGUAAUUACACAAAGAGAACCCUCAGCCAUUAUCCUGGUCAUCCGAAUUAAGAAAAAGACACAGAAUCAUAGAAACUCUGAUCUGGAAUAGAUUUAGCGAUCAUCUUAAUCCCACCCCCUCACUCCAGAUAAGGAAACUGAUGCCACGGAGGGAAACAUGAAGAGCCAAAGGUCAUACCUCUAAAUAGUUACAGGCAGAACCGAGACCAGAACCUAAAACCUGCGACUCCUUAUUAAGCAUUCUUUCCAUUGCUUCACGCCACCAGACAAGGAAGAUACAUGAGGAACCACAAAACUAAAAUAAUCAGCCUCCAACACUUAGAACUGCUUUGGUUGGGGGAUACAUAGGGAGAAAACAGUCUUUCUGUAUUUGUUGGAAGGAGCAGUGCUUUUUAUUUCCACUACAAAUUAUGAAUGAAAAAUACAACUAAGUAUUACUCACCAAAGGCACAAGACAAGAUUUAAGUCAUCUUCCAUGGUCACUCACAUUUCACUUGUCUACUAUGUAGCUAGAUUUUGUCAUUAACCCAGGGCUGAAUUGUCCAACAGUGUACACAGUAGUCACAAAUGGCUAUCUAAAUUUAAAUGAAUUACACUUAAAUAAAAUAAUUUAGUUCCUCUAACAUAUUAUCCACAUUUGAAGUGCACAAUAGCCAAUGUGGCUAGUAACUACCAUGCUGCAAAGUGCAGACAUAGAAUAGACGGUGCUGCGCUGGGCGCGGUGGCUCACGCCUGUAAUCCCAGCACUUUGAGAAGCUGAGGUGGGCAGAUCACUUGAGGUCAGGAGUUUGAGACCAGCCUGACCAACAUGGUGAAACCUCAUCUCUACUAAAAAUACAAAAAUGAGCUGGGCGUGGUGGCGCACGCCUGUAAUCCCAGCUACUCAGGAGGCUGAGGCAAGAGAAUUGCUUGAACUUGGGAGGCAGAGGUUGCAGUGAGCCGAGAUUGCACCACCGCACUCCAGCCUGGGUGACACAGUGAGACUCUGUUUAAAAAAAAGAAAAAAAAAAAAAAAAGAAUAGACGGUGCUGAUGUCUAGAACAUACUAGUCUGUGAAAUGGGCAUCAUAUGAAAGCCACCACAUAAAUUAUAAGUUUGUAAACAACACACGUUCUCACUCGUAAGUGGGAGCUGAACAACAUGAACACAUGGACACAGGGAGGGGAACAUCACACACCGGGGCCUGUCAGGGGGUGGGGGGUAGGGGAGGGAUAACAUUAGGAGAAAUACCUAAUGUAGAUGACGGGUUGAUGGGCGCAGCAAACCACCAGGGCACAUGUAUACCUAUGUAACAAACCUGCACGUUCUGCACAUGUAACCCAGAACUUAAAGUAUAAUAAAAUAAAAAAAAAAGAAAACAACAACAACAAAAAAAAAACAGACAAAAAUUGUAAGUUUAUUAUAUAAACUUUUUACAGUAACAAGGGACUGCAGAAAUAUUCUAGAGCAACUUUUUCUGGUUUCUAAUGAAGGAACUGAGUCCUAAAACAUUUAUUUAUACUGCGCUCCCAAUCCAGGUUUGGGAUUAAACGUCGAAUUGUCCAAAUCUAGGAAGUGAUUUUUCCGCUAACCAGCUGACUGGCUAAACAAUAUGGCUAGCAAUAUGAUAUGGCUCACCUCUUUAAGAUAAGGAGCAAAAUGUCUAUAUAGCACUUACUCCUCCAUCUUCUAAAAGGAACCUGAGUGGCAACAAGUUACUCCUUAUCUAUUCUGGAUCUACGUGGUUUUAAGGGAGCCAACAUCAUCCGGGGGAUGCAGGGGUGGAUAUAAUGCUAGGUCCCACUGAUAUAGUUUGAAUAUAUGUCCCCACCAAAUCUUGUGUUGAACUGUAAUCCCCAGUGUCGGAGGUGGGGCCUGGUGGGAGGUAUUUGGGUCACAGGGGCAGAUCCCUCAUGUCUUGGUGCUGUCCUCGUGACAGUGAGUUCCCCUGAGAUCUGGUUAAGUGUGUGCCCCCUCACCCCCAAAUCUCUCUCUCACUCCUGCUCUUGCCAUGUGACAUGCUGGCUCCCCUUCUGCCUUCCACCAUGAGCAAAAGUUCCCUGAGGCCUCCCCGGAAGCUCAGCAGAUGCUGGCACCAUGUUAAUGCAGCUUGUGGAACCAUGAGCCAAAUAAACCUCUUUUCUUUAUAAAUUACCCAGCCACAGGUAUUUCUUUAUAGUGACACAAGAACAGCCUAACACACUUACCAAUCAGCACAUCUCCUCCCUUCUCCACAGUGACUGGUUCAUGUAUAGAUAAGUGACCCAAGUCACUCAAUUGAUUCAAGGGAUUUCGCUGGAAUUACUGAGCAAGAGAUACUCUCUUUCUGAGGGGUUGCUAAGCUGUAAGUAUGUGAAGCAGGGACUCUCAGAAGCCCUCUGGCCUCAGCAAGGGAAAAACUUGACAAAGAACGGAGCCAAUAGGAAAGAAACAGAACAGAACAGAACAAUUGGAACAGACCCUUCCUGAUGACGUUACCUGAGUGCCUGGUUCCAGCUGGGUCUGAGGCCAGGCUAACCCUUGAACUUUUAAGCUCUGUGAGCGUACACACUCUCUCACCCCAACCCCUCAUCACUUGCCAGUCUGAGCUGGGUUUUGACAUUUGCAUGGGAAAAAGUCUUGACUAAUACAGGUACCUCCUUCCACAAGAAGAUUAGGAAGUGGUCAUAGUGUAACACUUCCAAACAACCUAGAAAAGCACUGCCUGAGGGAAACCCCAAAUUACAAGGCACACCAUUGCAGUUGCAAAUCUUGGUUCAUCUGAUGCCAUUCUGGGAGGGAUUCCCCAAGUCAACCCCAACUGUACACGGCCUGUCCCAGCCAUGCACCAUUCACCAGGUUUCAGUUCACCACCUGUGCAUUUUUCUUUCGAUCACCCCAAUUCACAAAUUUCUUUCAAGGGUAUGCCUGCAACAUCACUUUGAAAUUCAGUAAAGUAUCUUCUAUUCACCAAGCCCUGGGAAUUUCUUCAAGACAUUUUCACCCUCUAAAAAAAAUAAAGAAAUCCCCUCAAAGUCUUAUGAUGACCAUACUAUUAAGAGUUCUCAGUCCAGUGGGUUUUCACUCAAAAUUCUUUCAGUGUGUGUGGUUUUUUUUUUUCCCCCAAAAACAAACUCUACAAUGAUUCACUGAUUCCUCACCCAUGGGUUUGUUUCUCAUUUUUCCUGAAUCUGAUAGUUUAUUUUUUGUUCUUGAUCCACUCUGCCAAAUUAUGAUAAUCUCACUUUCAUAGAGUCUGGUAAUAAAUGAUUUAAAGGAAUUCAUUAGCAACUAUUUUAUUGUAAUACAUACAUUCUGGAGAAAUACACAUUUUUCUUCAUGGUGGCCUCUUUCAAGCUAUCUGACUGAAAUCACUUACUGAGACCAGGCAUGUUAAAAUAUAGAAUAGAUUUUUCAUGAAUAACCUGCCCUUGCAUAGUUAACACUAUUUUUCAAAGUCUUUGCUUUCUCCUAAAUAAAAUGAUUUUUUAAAAUAAAUCAUUGUUGGCCAGGCGCAGUGGCUCAUGCCUGUAAUCCCAGAACUUUGGGAGGCUGAGGUGGGGGAAUCGCUGGAGCCCAGGAGUUCGAGGCCAGCCUGUGCAACACAGCAAGACCCCGUCUCUACUAAAAACACAAAAAUUACCUGGGUGUGGUGUUGGGUACCUGUUAAUCCCAGUUACCAGGGAGGAUGAGGCACAAUAGUUGCUUGAAUAAAUAAACAAACAAAUCAAUCAAUCAAUCAUUGUUUAAAUAUAUGGAUUUGGGCAUAAAAUAGUCAUUCCUUGUUAGUGGCUGUUCAUUUCUUUCACUCAAAGAAUUUGCCAAAAGCCACUUAUUUCUAUGCAUUUUCUGUCCAGCUCUGUAACAGCUUGCAACUACUUUUUUUCUUCCACUUAGCUUUUUGCUUUUCUUUUCUGAGACGAGGUCUCACUCUGUCCCCCAGGCUGGAGUACAGUGACACAAUCACAGCUCACUGCAACCUCAACCUCCCAUGGUCAAGCAAUCCUCCCAUGUCAGCCUCCUAAGUAGCUGCGACUCCAGGUGCAUAACACCACAUUCAGCUAAUUUAAAAAAAAAUUUUUUUUUGUAGAGAUAGGGUCUCCCUGUGUUACCCAGGCUGGUCCCGAAGUCCUGGCCUCAAGCAAUUCUCUUGCCUUGGCCUCCCAAAGUGCCUCACAUCACAGGUGUGAGCUACUACGCCAGGCCCCACUUAGCUUUUUUUACUUCACCCCAUUAAUAUUUAGUAUCCCAAAGUUUCAUUUAUUUUCCUGUUACUGUGAAAUUCCAGGUGAAGAUUACUGGGCUCCUAUGGCUUCAGCUUUUUACUAUUAAGGAAUAUUAUAUUAGAAUCAUCAACAACAAUCCAGUGAAAUUCUAAUAACAUUAUUAGCACCUUUCGUUAAGCGUAUGUCACAUGCUGUGUGUCUCUAGCUGGGUGCUUUAUGUCCAAGUUUUCAUUUGGUUCUUGUAUGGUGGGUAUCAUUUAUGGCCUUUUUUUUUUUUUUACAUGGAGUCUCACUGUGUUGCCAGACUGGAGUGCAGUGGUGUGAUCUUGGCUCACUGCAACCUCCGCCUCCUGGGUUCAAGCGAUUCUCCUGCCUCAGCCUCCUGAGUAGCUGGGACCACAGGCGGGUGCCACCACACCCAGCUAUUUUUUGUAUUUUUAGUAGAGACAGGAUUUCACCAUGUUGGCCAGGAUGGCCUUGAUCUCUUGACCUCGUGAUCUGCCCGCCUUGGCCUCCCAAAGUGCUAGGAUUACAGGCGUGAGCCACCGCACAUUUACGGCCAUUUUAUAGACAAAGAAACAAAGUUUUCUAUUUUGCCCAAGGUCAUGGUGGCAGGUCACGAUUCAAACAUGAAUCCUUUGUUUCUAAAGCCUAAAGAGACUCAGGAUGACAUGGCUGAAAAUUCUAGCAUUGGAACUGCAAAUAUCGGAUUGAAAUCCAUCACAACUGUAUUCUUUGUAGCUGCAAACCUGAAACCAGUGUCUCAUGUUGACAACUGGCCUUGCCCAUGUUUUGUCCUUGGCCAAGGGGCAAAAAGAAAGCUCUGCCCUCUUUCAGACUGUGCCCAUUACAGUUCUAGCUUACUUAUCUAGGACUGCUAGUUAAUUUCAUAUUAAGGAAAUCUGUGAGCAUCCCAUGAAAGGGGAUCUUCUCUCGUUCUUGCUUAUGUGACAACAACAUAUACAAACAUCAUUAUUAUGCAAUGUACCGGGGGGAAAGGGAGCACAUUUGAUAAAUGUCAUGAUAAUUUUAUUCUUCGGGAAUCUAAAAUUGCUGUUGCCUUUUCUAAUCUCCAGUGUCUCUAGCUGGUCCAGAGAUAACGGCUCCCAUCCCAGGCUAGAGACUCCAUCUCUAAUUUCCCCAAGUCUGUCAAUGAGAGGCAGGGACUGAAAUCCCAAGUUCUGUCUCACCGGAUAUUUUCCAGGAAUGCCUCUCUUCCAAAUCAUCAGCGACAUUUAACAUGACCCUGAGCAGCAAACUUCUGCCCCAGAGGAAAGCAGAAAACCAAUUUAUGUAAAAUUAAAAGCGAUUUGCUUGAUCCAUCACUUGCUUCCACUCCCGUCCCACUUUCAACUGCAACACAUUCAGCUGGAAUUACAGGCUACCUCUUCGUCCUGCACUGGGGCAUAGAAUCUAUCUAUGCACAACCAUGGAGAACAAACAUUACAGAGAAAAUAAUGACUUUGGAAGCACCAGGCACCCUACCCAAACACAAGCUACAUGUGUGUUCACAGAUGGAAACUAACGGCUGUUUACCCUGAAGGCCCCAUAAGAAAAAUGCAGUCACCAUAACAGUAAAAUGCAACUUACUAUUCAACAUGAAACAAAGUGAGAUAAAGAGAGGGCUAGGGACUGAAUUCCAACAAAGAGCUCUUAUAGUACCUUGGAUUUCCUCGGGACAGUCCACACCAUUCAAGAGCUGUGCAGGCCCUGAAGAGGUGAGCUGCACAACUGAUGAGAUCAAAAGACCAAGGCAGGAAAAGGGUUGCAGGUUAGCUCAGUUCUUUGUUGGGUGGGUCAGAGAACAGAACUCAUGUGACAUCAUUUUGUGUCUUGCUCUGGAGGUGCACUUAGCAAAGCCAGAAAUCCAAUGUUAAUUGAUCAAACAACGACAACAAAAUACCGGUUUUGUCUGGCAAAGGAUUAUGCAACAUAUUGAUGUAAACGGCAUCGAGCCGCAUCAGAGGUACUCUGACCAUUUCCUUGAUGCAACAAAUAAGGGCACGCAUUCCUUGUCAGUGCAUCACAAAAUGACAACAAAAGUCAUCCAAGGUUUCCUGUUGAGAGAUGCCAGCUGGUAUUGACAAAGGCUUAAGAGUGUCUUUCUCAGACCUCUGUGGUUUAGCACUUUGUCAAAACAGGAUACUAUUUAAAUUAAAAAUUUACUGAUUCAAGUUCAGAAAAACCCUGCUUUGCUGUUUUUAUAACCAAAUUUGUGGGUGGGGAAACUUUGACCUUUAUUUUUUCUUUUUUUAUGACACCUUAUAUGGGUCUGAGAAGGUACUAUAUUUAGCAGGCUAGAUUUGAGAACUAAGGUGUCUAAGCAAGAUGACUAUCACUUUCUAUGAAUUACUGUACAUGUGAAAUCAUGGGCUUGUUAUAUUAUGCAAAAGCGACUCAUGUGAAACAAACAAAAAUACCUGUUUGCAUGUAUAAGUUUUGUAAAAUCUUUGUGGGGAGAGAAAGGGGAAAUACACACUAGACUAGGCCACGGCAUAAUGUACCUCCCAUGUGAAUCUGGCUUAGUGUGCAAAUGUAUGUUUUCAGAGAAGGCUAAGCCAGGGCUGUAAGACUAUGGUCAAAAAAGCAAAGCUGACGGUCAACCAUAAGCAGUGCAGUGGUGAGAACCAAGAUGCUGGGGAAUAGAUGGAGUCUCUGGAAAUUGCGAAAGAGCAACCAAGCUUGUUUCUGAUUGGGGGCUCUUAAACUUGCUCUUCCCCGAACCUGAAACUUUCUUCCCUAGAUAGACGCAAGACUCAGUCCCUCACUCAGUCAAGGUCUCUACUCAAAGACCAUUUCCUCAGAGUCCUUCCCUGGCCAGCCAGUCAAACAUGGGACUGUCAUCACCACGGUGUUUAUCUUAAUCUACUUUGUUUUCUUACAGAUUUCAUCGUCACACAACAUGUGGUGAUACAUUGUUUUGUUUUUUGUUUUUUUUUUUUUGGCUUACCAGUUUAAUGUCCCAUAAGAAUGUAAUCUCCCGGCUGCUUUCUCUGCUGCUCACUCUAGGUGCCUCACUCUAGGUGUCUAGGUCAACACAACCACCCAAUAAUUUGUCAGAUGUUUGUUGAACAGGGAAUCUCAUGAACAGUCUAUUUGAGUUGCGUAAAGGAUCUCAUUAUUUUUCUUGAACUUUCACCUGUCUAGCUAACUAUUUAUGGGAAAGGUACUAACAAAGUCAUUCCAAUGAUGUCAAAGACUUCUGAGACACCAGAGAUGCAGUUAGAUAUAAAUAUUAAACUACU